GACGAACGCUGGCGGCGUGCUUAACACAUGCAAGUCGAACGAAGUGGCGAACGGGUGAGUAACGCGUAAUCAACCUGCCGUUCAGAGGGGGACAACAGUGGGAAACGACUGCUAAUACCGCAUACUGAAGGAGGGGAUUGCGUCUGAUUAGCUAGUUGGAGGGGUAACGGCCCACCAAGGCGAUGGGGAGUAGCCGGGCUGGGAGGAGGGACCGCCCAAUUGGGACUGGGGACCGGCCCAGACUCCUACCGGAUGCAGCCAUGGGGAAUCUUCCGCAAUGGACGAAAGUCCUGCUGCGCAACGCCGCGUGAUUGAUGACGGCCUUCGGGUUGUAAAGCUCUGUUAAGCGGGACGCGGUACCGGAAUAGAAAGCCACGGCUAACUACGUGCCAGCAGCCGCGGUAAUAC
rnacentral:rRNA from 1 species